AGUGAACGCUGGCGGUAGGCCUAACACAUGCAAGUCGAACGGCAGCACAGUAAGAGCUUGCUCUUACGGGUGGCGAGUGGCGGACGGGUGAGGAAUACAUCGGAAUCUACUUUUUCGUGGGGGAUAACGUAGGGAAACUUACGCUAAUACCGCAUACGACCUACGGGUGAAAGCAGGGGAUCUUCGGACCUUGCGCGAUUGAAUGAGCCGAUGUCGGAUUAGCUAGUUGGCGGGGUAAAGGCCCACCAAGGCGACGAUCCGUAGCUGGUCUGAGAGGAUGAUCAGCACCACUGGAACUGAGACACGGUCCAGACUCCUACGGGAGGCAGCAGUGGGGAAUAUUAGACAAUGGGCGCAAGCCUGAUCCAGCCAUACCGCGUGGGUGAAGAAGGCCUUCGGGUUGUAAAGCCCUUUUGUUGGGAAAGAAAAGCAGCAGGUUAAUACCCCGCUGUUCUGACGGUACCCAAAGAAUAAGCACCGGCUAACUUCGUG
rnacentral:rRNA from 1 species